GCAAAGUUGGUUUAGUGGUAUAAUUGCCGCCUGCCAUACGUUUAGUAAUCAGGCCGCGGCAGACCCGGGUUCGAUUCCCGGACUUUGCA